GAGGAGUACCGGCCCGCU
rnacentral:misc_RNA from 1 species